AGCGAACGCUGGCGGCAGGCCUAACACAUGCAAGUCGAACGAACCCUUCGGGGUUAGUGGCGGACGGGUGAGUAACACGUGGGAACGUGCCUUUAGGUUCGGAAUAACUCAGGGAAACUUGUGCUAAUACCGAAUGUGCCCUUCGGGGGAAAGAUUUAUCGCCUUUAGAGCGGCCCGCGUCUGAUUAGCUAGUUGGUGAGGUAAUGGCUCACAAAGGCUACGAUCAGUAGCUGGUCUGAGAGGAUGACCAGCCACAUUGGGACUGAGACACGGCCCAAACUCCGACGGGAGGCAGCAGUGGGGAAUCUUGCGCAAUGGGCGAAAGCCUGACGCAGCCAUGCCGCGUGGAUGAUGAAGGUCUUAGGAUUGUAAAAUCCUUUCACCGGUGAAGAUAAUGACUGUAGCCGGAGAAGAAGCCCCGGCUAACUUCGUGCCAGCCGCCGCGGUAAGAC
rnacentral:rRNA from 1 species